rnacentral:rRNA from 1 species
GAGGAUGCUUCGGGAACGGCCCCCAUCUAAGUGCCCUGGAACGGGCCGUCAUAGAGGGUGAGAAUCCCGUCUGGGAUGGGGUGGCCGCGCCCGUGUGAAGCUCCUUCGACGAGUCGAGUUGUUUGGGAAUGCAGCUCUAAUUGGGUGGUAAAUUUCAUCUAAAGCUAAAUAUUGGCCGGAGACCGAUAGCGCACAAGUAGAGUGAUCGAAAGAUGAAAAGCACUUUGAAAAGAGAGUUAAACAGCACGUGAAAUUGUUGAAAGGGAAGCGCUUGCGACCAGACUCGCCCGCGGGGUUCAGCCGGCACUCGUGCCGGUGUACUUCCCCGCGGGCGGGCCAGCGUCGGUUUGGGCGGCCGGUCAAAGGCCUCUGGAAGGUAACGCCUCUCGGGGCGUCUUAUAGCCAGGGGUGCCAUGCGGCCUGCCCGGACCGAGGAACGCGCUUCGGCUCGGACGCUGGCAUAAUGGUCGUAAGCGACCCGUCUUGAAACACGGACCAAGGAGUCUAACAUCUACGCGAGUGUUCGGGUGUCAAACCCGUGCGCGCAGUGAAAGCGAACGGAGGUGGGAACCCCCCGGGGUGCACCAUCGACCGAUCCUGAUGUCUUCGGAUGGAUUUGAGUAAGAGCGUAGCUGUUGGGACCCGAAAGAUGGUGAACUAUGCCUGAAUAGGGCGAAGCCAGAGGAAACUCUGGUGGAGGCUCGCAGCGGUUCUGACGUGCAAAUCGAUCGUCAAAUUUGGGUAUAGGGGCGAAAGACUAAUCGAACCAUC